GACGAACGCUGGCGGCGUGCUUAACACAUGCAAGUCGAACGAUGAAGCCUUUCGGGGUGGAUUAGUGGCGAACGGGUGAGUAACACGUGGGUAAUCUGCCUUGUACUCUGGGAUAAGCCUUGGAAACGGGGUCUAAUACCGGAUAGGACCGUCCCCUGCAUGGGGGGUGGUGGAAAGUUUUGGCGGUAUGAGAUGAGCCCGCGGCCUAUCAGCUUGUUGGUGGGGUGAUGGCCUACCAAGGCGACGACGGGUAGCCGGCCUGAGAGGGCGAUCGGCCACACUGGGACUGAGACACGGUCCAGACUCCUACGGGAGGCAGCAGUGGGGAAUAUUGCACAAUGGGCGCAAGCCUGAUGCAGCCAUGCCGCGUGUAUGAAGAAGGCCUUCGGGUUGUAAAGUACUUUCAGCGGGGAGGAAGGGAGUAAAGUUAAUACCUUUGCUCAUUGACGUUACCCGCAGAAGAAGCACCGGCUAACUCCGUGCCAGCAGCCGCGGUAAUACGGAGGGUGCAAGCGUUAAUCGGAAUUACUGGGCGUAAAGCGCACGCAGGCGGUUUGUUAAGUCAGAUGUGAAAUCCCCGGGCUCAACCUGGGAACUGCAUCUGAUACUGGCAAGCUUGAGUCUCGUAGAGGGGGGUAGAAUUCCAGGU
rnacentral:rRNA from 1 species